AAUUGAUGGUUUUUGCCGAUGUCGAUGAAGGCCGGUAGCCCACGUAGAUCUGUUAAUAAUAAAUUAUGAAUUUUCUUGGAUUAUUGUUGUCACAGCACUGAAAGUAUGCAAUAUACAGUACUUUUAUUACAAAAGUUUAAGUUCGCUCCCUUCAAAAAAUGUAUAGGUUUCGUGCUCUAAUGUUUACCUGAGAGCAGCAAUGACAAAAACAAACAUCACCAAUGACGUCAUAAGAAACACGUCAUUGUUUUAUGACGUAAUUAUAUUUUUAUGUCUUUAAUGGUGUCUACUUCCUGUUAGAGCUAGUGCACCGUCAGAUAAUUUUUCAGAAAUGUCUGUAAAGAGGACGCCAUAAGAGCUAUACACAAGCCUGUGACCACAUCACCAGACCAGGUCGUAUGUUGUGUGUUGGGAGCCUGCAGCUUGGGGCAUCGUGACUCUCAAACACGUGUAGUCGUCUUCGUCUCCCGAAGAAGUACAACUACUAUCAUCUGCAGUAUCGUGGUCUGGCGACAUUAAAGAUGUGUUUUCUCUAGUCUUAGCUUCACUGACAACACCAAGAUGGCAGCACACGCCGGCAUCCGAAUCUUCUUUCUUAGGAAGGACAUCAGGAGAGAAGACCACAGCAAGGCUGAGGAUCACUCCAAGAAAGAAUGCCACAACAGCGCAGACAAUGCCAAUUAUUACACAAGUCCGACUGGUGGCCGCUGUUCCCACUGGCCAAAAAGAUGGAAGGGAGUGUUUACCCAGCGUGCCAGCUGCUGCAGUCAGUACAGUGGUAUUCGGUGUACUCGGUGUACUCGGUGUACUCGUUGAACUCGAUGUACUCGGAGUACCCGGGGUGCUUCUUGAGACAAAGGAGCCCUUCCUACAGUCACA